AUCUGUGUGUGAAAUGAGGUACACUAUAUUUUGGCUGGGUUUGGUUCAGCAGCAAAAUCUCUAAUCUGUGAGCUUGUAGUGUCCCUGUAGAUUUUUAUCACCUCACAGAGAAACAAUAGCAACAACCCAAGCAACAAAUACAGCAUUCAAAUAAAACCCUUGUCUGUUAUGACAUCUAGAACACGAAUUACCACAGAAAUGGGAACCAUGGGGCCAGUGAUUGCCAACAGCAAGAACAAUGAGUAAUUGUUAACUAGAUCUGGCAUAAAUCAGCAGGUGUCAGUACUGAUAACUGCAGCAACAUAAAUGGCAGGGGCACAAUCCUAUAAACUAGAUAGGCCAAAAGAUGGUGAAAAUACAGCUCAUUGAGAGAAAAAAGUGUGAUAGGAAGGUUGAAGAAAGUUUAGAAUGUUCAAAAUGUGAACAGAGAAAAGCUGAAGAGAUAAAGUGAUGGUUCUUGAAAAGGAGGAGGAAAAAUAGAAAAAAAAAGUAAAGGGAGAAGGAGAGAACAGAGAAUAUGGAUGUUAAGGGAGAAUAAAAGAGACCAAGAGAAAACAACAAACCCAAAGUAAACAAACCACACACCCUGACCCUCAAAGACACGGUGAGGGAGAAUAAUUGUCACAAAGAAUGCUAAAAAGGAGAAAAAAGACACACACACACACACACACACACACACACACAUCCACAAACCAUGCAGCACAGCAAGAGUCACCACAAAGGAAAAAGGAGGAAAAAAAUAUUCUUAAUGAAAAGUGAAAGAGCUGUCUCCACUGAGGAGGUCAGAACAGCUGACAAGGGUGACGUCACUGCUGUGCCCCGCUGUCCUUUCUGCCAUCUUUUCUUGGGCCAUGGGCUGGAAGAGAGCAGGCUGGGGUUGCUAACCGCUUGCUCUCCCGUGUGGCUCGCGGAGCUGCGGGCUGGAGUGGCUGGACGGACGGGAACACUGCUUCUAUCAGAACAACCUGAGUGUAUCUGAGACAAUAAGCCAUCACCUAUAGGACAGAAAGAACACAAGGCUGAAUUCCAGGGCUAAUACUGACCCCAAUUAAAUGGAAGGGGCGACAACAAAACUAUAGAUAUGCAGGUUGAAAUCCAGUACUCCGACUUCAAGUGUUCCCAAGAAGGAUCUCUGAGGAAUCUCAGCUGACCCCAACAGAGAACACUGCUUCUAUCAGAACAACCUGAGUGUAUCUGAGACAAUAAGCCAUCACCUAUAGGACAGAAAGAACACAAGGCUGAAUUCCAGGGCUAAUACUGACCCCAAUUAAAUGGAAGGGGCGACAACAAAACUAUAGAUAUGCAGGUUGAAAUCCAGUACUCCGACUUCAAGUGUUCCCAAGAAGGAUCUCUGAGGAAUCUCAGCUGACCCCAACAGAGGUAGGAACAGGGUCAGUUUUGACCAACUUGGUAUUAAGCAUGUGGUGACAGAGUGUGGCCAAAGCACAGCCACACAUGGACAUUAGGAAAAGGCAUGGUCUCUUUAAGGUAACUUGAGGUGCACAUUUGUGUCAGUCCUCCCCAAAUCAGUGAAACUGCAAGGUUGGGAAGGAAGGGUCUUUACACAGGAGUGCCUGAUAAAUAUCAAAAUGAGCAGUCA